CGAGUGGACCAGGUGAUCGCGGGGGAGACCCUGAGGAAAGUCCGAGCUCCGCAGAGCAGGGUGCUGGGUAAUGCCCAGUGGGGGCAACCCCAAGGCUAGUGCCACAGAAACAUACCGCCCGUAAGGGUAAGGGUGAAACGGUGAGGUAAGAGCUCACCAGCGGCCAGGUGACUGGCUGGCUAGGUAAACCCCACCCGGAGCAAGGCCAAAUAGGGAGGGAGAGGCUGCUCGUCUCGUUAGACUUCCGGGUUGGCUGCUUGAGACUGUAGGUAACUGCAGUCCUAGAUAGAUGAUCACCCUCGACAGAACUCGGCUUAUCGGUUCACUCGUCUC
rnacentral:RNase_P_RNA from 3 species